CCUCUGGAAUCUUACCGUUUGCUCGGGACACAAAGGCUUUAACAGAGGGGGGAAAAAAGGUACAUUAUCAGAAGCCAAAAAUGACAUUUGGGUUCUCCUGAGUGGGAAAAAAACUGCAUUCAACCAGCUUCUCUAGAAGCUCGUGGUUCUAGAAGCAGCAAAUGGGAUGCUGGAGCCCCCAAGCACCUCUGCUUUCAAGUAGGCACCACAAUGACCUGAGCAAGUUCAGGUUUGAACUUCAGAGCAAGUUCAAAUCCAGCAGAAAAGCUCAACCCACAAACACUGUGUUCCACUGUCAUGAUUCAAAUACCAUGAUGCUGACACUUUGAUCCUGACAAGCACUACCAAACAUGCUAUUUUUGUUAUUUUUGGAGCAGCUAGCAUGGCACAGGGGUCAAAAGGAUCUGAUUUGCUGGGAACAGCAGCAGUAAAAAAUAUGGUGCCCAAAAUUAUAGACAGCGAUUUUAUUUCUUCAUUUACGUAUCUCUGUGGAGUUUUUCCUUUGUGACCUCAACCAAGUCACAUCAUCUUAUAACCACUGUUGCUUCUUCACAGGUACACACUUCCAAACAGGCAAUAAAACCCUAGUCAGUUAGUUACUAACCCAGUAACUAAUUAGUAGUUAACCUGCUCUAGGCAUCCAACUGAAAACUCAUUUCAUCAUUUCAUAAACUAUUCUCUUUCCUGCUAGACAUCACUAGCAGACAUAUAAAAUCAAUAUAUAAAUAAGUAGAAUCACUACUUCCAUAGAAACUUAAACCAAACCAAAAUAAAAUAACCUACAAC